rnacentral:rRNA from 1 species
CGCGCAGGUGGUUGAUUAAGUCUGAUGUGAAAGCCCACGGCUUAACCGUGGAGGGUCAUUGGAAACUGGUCGACUUGAGUGCAGAAGAGGGAAGUGGAAUUCCAUGUGUAGCGGUGAAAUGCGUAGAGAUAAGGAGGAACACCAGUGGCGAAGGCGGCUUCCUGGUCUGUAACUGACACUGAGGCGCGAAAGCGUGGGGAGCAAACA